rnacentral:rRNA from 1 species
CAGCAGCCGCGGUAACACGGAGGGCGCGAGCGUUACCCGGAUUUACUGGGCGUAAAGGGCGUGUAGGCGGCCUGGGGCGUCCCAUGUGAAAGGCCACGGCUCAACCGUGGAGGAGCGUGGGAUACGCUCAGGCUAGAGGGUGGGAGAGGGUGGUGGAAUUCCCGGAGUAGCGGUGAAAUGCGCAGAUACCGGGAGGAACGCCGAUGGCGAAGGCAGCCACCUGGUCCACUUCUGACGCUGAGGCGCGAAAGCGUGGGGAGCAAACCGGAUUAGAUACCCCGGUAGUCCCUGUCUCUUAUAC